AUACAUUGAUCUUGCAAGUCGAUUAAAAAAAAAGAUAAACAAACAAACAGAGCUUAAGUAAUUUUUAACAGCCAGCACGCCACAGUAUGUGUGUAUUGAAAAGGCAUUCUCAUACUAGGGUGUGGGUAGACGCUUGUUAGAGGUUGAGUUAUUUCAUGGGACUUGAUAGCAAAUCAGAAUAAAAGUAAACAAAAAGUUCAGAAAGAUAGCAGCUUAGAACAAAACAAAUCAAAUAGAAUAGGGUAAGUUCAGAACGUCAGCGAAAUAUUAAUCAUAUCUAAAAUGAGUGUGCAAUUCUGUGAAUUCAGUGUCAAGUUAUUUGAUAAUUCUGAACAGUGGGUCCAUCAGGGUUUUUCUGGUAAUACAGAUCUUUUAACUCUCAAAAUGUACAAAGCAAGGAGGACGAAUCCAUUUAUGGGGUUUUGUUUCUAGGCAUUUUCCGUGUUUCUUGUAAGCUGGAUGCAAUACAUACAUUAUUCCAAUGUUUCAGUUUGGUUAAAAGAACAAUAUGAAUUUUACCGUUUACUCAUUUUUCAGCGCUUCUUUGGACAGCCACACAAUGUUUUAUGCAGAUGGGAGCUCUAUGCAGUGCCAUGGUGGGUUCUUUUCUUUUCUUCUUUCUUUUCUUUUUUUCUUCCUUCCUUUUUUCCUUCCUUUACUUUCUUUUCCUUCAUUUUUUCCUUCCUUUACUUUCUUUUCUUUUUCUUUCUUUCUCUCUCUCUCUUUCUUUCUUUCUUUCUUUCUUUCUUUCUUUCUUUCUUUCUUUCUUUCUUUCUUUCUAGAAAAGCAAGUACCAGGUCUCUUUUGAGUGUGGACUCCAUCUGGAGUUGUUAGGAAAGAAAGUGGAAUUUGCUCUAAUUUAUGUGUGUAAAGUCCAUUAUUAAAAAGAAUGGGAUUUGAAAGGGCACAUAGCAAAACCCAUAACAUUUAGCUGGUAACGUGGAGAGAGCUCAAAGCCAAGGGAAAAAUACCACCAACUCAUGCAAACCCGAAAUAGACUACAAUGACCUCAGCCAUUUUCAUUUUCAGAAAUAAUAGCCUUGAUUAAAAUGGGGGGAGAGUCUGGCUCAGAUAUGUGUUCUUUUGCAUUAUUGUUAAGGUAUUUUGUCAUUAAAGAACUGUUUCAUUAUAAGAGGAGGGGAAGCAACUGAAUUUUUAAUGCAAUUCUUGACUCUUCAAAGGUGUUCAUUCUAGAAUUACUUAGUUUUGACUUUAGUUAUUCUAUUCAACAGCAAACUGGUUUUUGGUUUGAAUGUUCAGUCUAAUCAUUGACUGCUAAUUUUAUUAUAAUUCUAAAGGGUAAAUUAUCUAGCAAACAGAUUGUAUUAAUUCUUCUGUCAAGGGCCUGCUCAGGAGUCAAUGACUAUGUAACAGGGAGGACUGGGAAGGAUCCUUACAGCUGUUAAGAAUCUGCCCAAUGAUUUAAUUUUGCAAUUGAUGUUGUUCAAAUGAUGGCAUUUACAAAAAAACUUCAAUGCAGCUGUUGGUAGGGUUUGGUGAUAUUUUAUACAACAAAUACUCUAUGAAAUCCUGCUGUGUGGUAGGCCCCAGGCUUGGAAAUGCAUGGUUUCAGCUCUCAUGAACAUUUAAAAUGUGCACAGCAGUGUUUGAAUUGAGUGUGAUCCCUGAUUGAAUAGCUAGGUCAGUUUCAAGCCAUUGGCUGCCUCUUGUGAAGGCGGAGCAAUAAUACCACCGUCCCUGGGCAUCUUCAUUCGUGAGGUGGGAAUCCCCACACCACUCUCCAUGGGCUCUUUAUUUGUGAAGUAGAAGUAAUGAUACUGUCGUCCUUGGGCUCUGGGGAAGUAGGAGUCACGAGUGCCCAUCAGAUGAAUGUUAGCCAAGUACAUAAGCUUCAAUCACCCACUCACUCAGUCAAUCAUCCAAUACACCUUAAUCAUAUCCUGUUUGAUUUAUUAAUUAAAACCCCUGGAGAGGAAAAAAAAACUUUCUGUUUCCUAGUCUAUGUUUUUAUCCAGCCUCAGUUUUAGAAGUAUUUAUAUGCCCAUAGGAAAUGUCUUGUUUGUCUUCCCAGUAAGUUAUACCCUUGGAUAAAGGGAGAUUGCAUAUACAAUGUGGACAUAUUAAAAUUGAAACC
rnacentral:lncRNA from 1 species